CUGACGAUAUGUUGUACGUACCAUUCAAGUUCAAAUGAAAAUAGAAACUAGACGUACAUUUUCACGUACAGUACAUGUUUGUCGUGCUUAAAUGUGCUAAUGGCUGCUUUCACAAUUAGCCUUCCAGACAAGGAAACAGAUUUCAAGCAGCUAUUUUAAUAAAUAUCAAGUGUAUUAAUUGUCCAUCACUUUUUGCACAGGCGCCCCCCUCAAGCGGGGCCUGAUGUGAGCGGCGGGGGGGGGGGGGGGAUGGUAAAUACCUCUGUAGGCAGUGUCCCUGACAUUAAUAACAAUGAGAUUGGCAUAAGCACGGGCAAGAUUCACAGUUUGACAUUCAGGCCAGAUGCUAUCUCGGCGCCUCGGCGCGCGGGAAACGCGGCGAGAAGACAGACAUCUGUCACUUGUUACCUUUUGAAGUGAAUAAGAGAGAGCGCCGCGGCCAAAAAAAAGUGCGCGGCGGCGGACAAAAGGCCGUUCUGACCGACGGACCCUCGGUGUUUACAAACGGGGGAGGGCGACAGCAGCAACUCCAGAUGAAUGGAUCACCGCCGUUGAUCUCGCCUCCUCAUUCCGUGUGCUAAGUUAUUCCGUGGCUGCUAACCCAGCAGGGGGGGUUGGCUGGGCUGGGUGUGGGUACAGGAAGUUGAGAGAGGCAGACAGAACGCCUGAAGGACUCUGGAGGAGCUGAGCGCUUCUGCAGCCUGAAAAAAAUAAAAAUAUCAGACUCCCCAACAACCGACUGAACACUUCUGUAACCGGAGGUAGCAAACAUAAUCCUUCUUAUUAAUGAGUGGAUGAUGCUACAUUAGGGCAAUAUUUGCAAUAGUGUGCAAACAUCUAUAGCCCAGCCACAGAAACUUCCACUUCGCCCACAAAAAGAAAAAAUGUUUGCUAAGGAAUUACUGAGCACGAUAACGCUUACUUAUUCAUUCCGUCAUGGCAGAGCUUCCGCAUUACGUGAAUAUGCCCCCUGGUGGUUGAGAGAAGUAUAAAGAGAUGAUAGCAACUGGAUUUAGUGGCAAUAUUCCCCAUGAAAUGCUCCAAAAUUGCAGAACACAGUUGGAGCGGGUUGAACUGUAAGGGGGAGCCCAAAAGAGGAAUUGGAUUAGGACACACCAGACUGAAUUGGACAUUGCACCUUAUAAACAAACAGGGUUACGUGACAGCUGCAAUGAGGUAGCGUCGGUGGAAAAUGCAAUCAUUCAUUGGUGGGAAUACGCUGGAAAAAAACUAAGAGAGGAAUGUAAAAAGGAAGUUAGGAAGUACAAAGAGAUGAUAGCAACUGGAUUUAGUGGCAAUAUUCCCCAUGAAAUGCUCCAAAAUUGCAGAACACAGUCGGAGCGGGUUGAACUGUAAGGGGGAGCCCAAAAGAGGAAUUGGAUUAGGACACACCAGACUGAAUUGGACAUUGCACCUUAUAAACAAACAGCCAUCAGGGUUAUGUGACAGCUGCAAUGAGGUCGCGUCGGUGGAAAACGCAAUCAUUCAUUGGUGGGAAUACGCUGGAAAAAACUAAGAGAGGAAUGUAAAAAGGAAGUUAGGAAGUACAAAGAGAUGAUAGCAACUGGAUUUAGUGGCGCUAUUCCCCAUGACAUGCUCCAAAUUGCAGAACACAGUUGGAGCGGGUUGAACUGUAAGGGGGAGCCCACAAGAGGAAUUGGAUUAGGACACACCAGACUGAAUUGGACAUUGCACCUUAUAAACAAACAGCCAUCAGGGUUACGUGACAGCUGCAAUGAGGUAGCGUCGGUGGAAAACGCAAUCAUUCAUUGGUGGAAAUACGCUGGAAAAAACUAAGAGAGAAAGUUAAAAAGGAAGUUAGGAAGUACAAAGAGAUGAUAGCAACUGGAUUUAGUGGCAAUAUUCCCCAUGAAAUGCUCCAAAAUUGCAGAACACAGUUGGAGCGGGUUGAACUGUAAGGGGGAGCCCAAAAGAGGAAUUGGAUUAGGACACACCAGACUGAAUUGGACAUUGCACCUUAUAAACAAACAGGGUUACGUGACAGCUGCAAUGAGGUAGCAUCGGUGGAAAAUGCAAUCAUUCAUUGGUGGAAAUACGCUGGAAAAAACUAAGAGAGGAAGUUAAAAAGGAAGUUAGGAAGUACAAAGAGAUGAUAGCAACUGGAUUUAGUGGCAAUAUUCCCCAUGAUAUGCUCCAAAAUUGCAGAACACAGUUGUAGCGGGUUGAACUGUAAGGGGGAGCCCAAAAGAGGAAUUGGAUUAGGACACACCAGACUGAAUUGGACAUUGCACCUUAUAAACAAACAGCCAUCAGGGUUACGUGACAGCUGCAAUGAGGUAGCGUCGGUGGAAAAUGCAAUCAUUCAUUGGUGGGAAUACGCUGGAAAAAACUAAGAGAGGAAGUUAAAAAGGAAGUUAGGAAGUACAAAGAGAUGAUAGCAACUGGAUUUAGUGGCAAUAUUCCCCAUGAAAUGCUCCAAAAUUGCAGAACACAGUCGGAGCGGGUUGAACUGUAAGGGGGAGCCCACAAGAGGAAUUGGAUUAGGACACACCAGACUGAAUUGGACAUUGCACGUUAUAAACAAACAGGGUUACGUGGCAGCUGCAAUGAGGUAGCGUCGGUGGAAAAUGCAAUCAUUCAUUGGUGGAAAUAUACGCUGGAAAAAACUAAGAGAGGAAGUUAAAAAGGAAGUUAGGAAGUACAAAGAGAUGAUAGCAACUGGAUUUAGUGGGAAUAUUCCCCAUGAAAUGCUCCAAAAUUGCAGAACACAGUUGGAGCGGGUUGAACUGUAAGGGGGAGCCCAAAAGAGGGAUUGGAUUAGGACACACCAGACUGAAUUGGACAUUGCACCUUAUAAACAAACAGCCAUCAGGGUUAUGUGACAGCUGCAAUGAGGUAGCAUCGGUGGAAAAUGCAAUCAUUCAUUGGUGGAAAUAUACGCUGGAAAAAACUAAGAGAGGAAGUUAAAAAGGAAGUUAGGAAGUACAAAGAGAUGAUAGCAACUGGAUUUAGUGGCGCUAUUCCCCAUGACAUGCUCCAAAUUGCAGAACACAGUUGGAGCGGGUUGAACUGUAAGGGGGAGCCCAAAAGAGGAAUUGGAUUAGGACACACCAGACUGAAUUGGACAUUGCACCUUAUAAACAAACAGCCAUCAGGGUUACGUGACAGCUGCAAUGAGGUAGCGUCGGUGGAAAAUGCAAUCAUUAAUUGGUGGAAAUACGCUGGAAAAAACUAAGAGAGGAAUGUAAAAAGGAAGUUAGGAAGUACAAAGAGAUGAUAGCAACUGGAUUUAGUGGCAAUAUUCCCCAUGAAAUGCUCCAAAAUUGCAGAACACAGUUGGAGCGGGUUGAACUGUAAGGGGGAGCCCAGAAGAGGAAUUGGAUUAGGACACACCAGACUGAAUUGGACAUUGCACCUUAUAAACAAACAGCCAUCAGGGUUAUGUGACAGCUGCAAUGAGGUAGCGUCGGUGGAAAAUGCAAUCAUUCAUUGGUGGGAAUACGCUGGAAAAAACUAAGAGAGGAAGUUAAAAAGGAAGUUAGGAAGUACAAAGAGAUGAUAGCAACUGGAUUUAGUGGCAAUAUUCCCCAUGAAAUGCUCCAAAAUUGCAGAACACAGUUGGAGCGGGUUGAACUGUAAGGGGGAGCCCACAAGAGGGAUUGGAUUAGGACACACCAGACUGAAUUGGACAUUGCACGUUAUAAACAAACAGGGUUACGUGGCAGCUGCAAUGAGGUAGCGUCGGUGGAAAAUGCAAUCAUUCAUUGGUGGAAAUAUACGCUGGAAAAAACUAAGAGAGGAAUGUAAAAAGGAAGUUAGGAAGUACAAAGAGAUGAUAGCAACUGGAUUUAGUGGCAAUAUUCCCCAUGAAAUGCUCCAAAUUGCAGAACACAGUCGGAGCGGGUUGAACUGUAAGGGGGAGCCCAAAAGAGGAAUUGGAUUAGGACACACCAGACUGAAUUGGACAUUGCACCUUAUAAACAAACAGGGUUACGUGACAGCUGCAAUGAGGUAGCGUCGGUGGAAAAUGCAAUCAUUCAUUGGUGGAAAUACGCUGGAAAAAACUAAGAGAGGAAGGUAAAAAGGAACUUAGGAAGUACAAAGAGAUGAUAGCAACUGGAUUUAGUGGCAAUAUUCCCCAUGAAAUGCUCCAAAAUUGCAGAACACAGUUGGAGCGGGUUGAACUGUAAGGGGGAGCCCAAAAGAGGAAUUGGAUUAGGACACACCAGACUGAAUUGGACAUUGCACCUUAUAAACAAACAGGGUUAUGUGACAGCUGCAAUGAGGUAGCAUCGGUGGAAAAUGCAAUCAUUCAUUGGUGGAAAUAUACGCUGGAAAAAACUAAGAGAGGAAGUUAAAAAGGAAGUUAGGAAGUACAAAGAGAUGAUAGCAACUGGAUUUAGUGGCGCUAUUCCCCAUGACAUGCUCCAAAUUGCAGAACACAGUUGGAGCGGGUUGAACUGUAAGGGGGAGCCCAAAAGAGGAAUUGGAUUAGGACACACCAGACUGAAUUGGACAUUGCACCUUAUAAACAAACAGCCAUCAGGGUUAUGUGACAGCUGCAAUGAGGUAGCAUCGGUGGAAAAUGCAAUCAUUCAUUGGUGGGAAUACGCUGGAAAAAACUAACAGAGGAAUGUAAAAAGGAAGUUAGGAAGUACAAAGAGAUGAUAGCAACUGGAUUUAGUGGCGCUAUUCCCCAUGAAAUGCUCCAAAUUGCAGAAGGCGAGGCAAGGCGACUUUAUUUAUAUAGCACGUUUACAACCAUUUUUAAAUUGGACCAAAGUGCUUUGCAGGUUAAAAAGCAUAGAGCAAAAAACAAAACAUAAUCAAUGAAUGCGCACAACAAGAUAGUGCAAAAGCAAUACGGUAAAAAGUUAAAAGUUAAAGUACCAAUGAUUGUCACACACACACUAGGUGUGUCGAAAUUAUUCUCUGUAAAUACCUUCCAUUACUACUAUUAGGACACAGGUGUCAAAUUCAAGGCCCGCGUUUCUGGGUGUUGUUGAUACAUGGCUUUGGCUUUGCAUAGUAGAGCUCUUUAGUUAAAAGUUCAAGUACCAAUGAUUGUCACACACACACACGAGGUGUGACGAAAUUAUUCUCUGUAAAUACCUUCCAUUACUACUAUUAGGACACAGGUGUCAAAUUCAAGGCCCGCGUUUCUGGGUGUUGUUGAUACAUGGCUUUGGCUUUGCAUAGUAGAGCUCUUUAGUUAAAAGUUCAAGUACCAAUGAUUGUCACACACACACACUAGGUGUGGCGAAAUUAUUCUCUGUAAAUACCUUCCAUUACUACUAUUAGGACACAGGUGUCAAACUCAAGGCCCGCGUUUCUGGGUGUUGUUGAUACAUGGCUUUGGCUUUGCAUAGUAGAGCUCUUUAGUUAAAAGUUCAAGUACCAAUGAUUGUCACACACACACUAGGUAUGGCGAAAUUAUUCUCUGUAAAUACCUUCCAUUACUACUAUUAGGACACAGGUGUCAAACUCAAGGCCCGCGUUUCUGGGUGUUGUUGAUACAUGGCUUUGGCUUUGCAUAGUAGAGCUCUUUAGUUAAAAGUUCAAGUACUAAUGAUUGUCACACACACACUAGGUGUGGCGAAAUUAUUCUCUGCAAAUACCUUCCAUUACUACUAUUAGGACACAGGUGUCAAACUCAAGGCCCGCGUUUCUGGGUGUUGUUGAUACAUGGUUUUGGCUUUGCAUAGUAGAGCUCUUUAGUUAAAAGUUAAAGUACCAAUGAUUGUCACACA